GUACAGAUUAAUCAGUCCUGAUAAGAGGAGGUGAACAAAAAAAAAAAGAGAGAGCGAGACAGGCGCGUGUGUGUGUGUCUGCUACGGAUUAGAUGGCAUACCUUGAGGUUGCCAUGGUGACUGGCAGGCAGCAGACACCUGUGAAUUAACAUUAGCACUGCAGCACCGGGAUCUUAAUUAAAGACGCAGGGAGAGAGCAGGACGGCCGCUCGAUGCAGUGCCUUACCCCGGCCCUUUAUCAGCACACCGCUUCCAUAAAAUCAAAGAGAAUUAGCUUUCAAACGAACAGGUGUCAUAUGGAGACACUGUGACCGAGGGACAAAGAGAUGAAUGAGAGAACGAAGACCUGGCCCCACCGCUAUAUCCCAGAUCACUCACAUUGCACGGCAGCCUCCACCAUCAGUGUAUGAACAUUUAUCAUGUGGUGAGCUGCCUGACAGCAGGACUACGGGGGGACGGACUCUGUGUUUAUGUCACUGAUGCUUGGUGCUCAUGUGCAGUCAAGACUAAUGGAAAGUGAGGAUGAGGAUGCCAUUCACCCUGAUGCAAAUUCCAAAUGUGCUCUCUCGUUUUAAUGUUUAAAUGUAAAUAAAUAACUGUAUAAACCGUC